rnacentral:rRNA from 1 species
UACGUAGGGAGCAAGCGUUGUUCGGAUUUACUGGGCGUAAAGGGCGCGUAGGCGGCAAAUUAAGUCAGCUGUGAAAUCUCCAAGCUUAACUCGGAACUGUCAGCUGAUACUGAUCUGCUAGAGUGCGGAAGGGGCAAUCGGAAUUCUUGGUGUAGCGGUGAAAUGCGUAGAUAUCAAGAGGAACACCUGAGGUGAAGACGGGUUGCUGGGCCGACACUGACGCUGAGUGCGCGAAAGCCAGGGGAGCAAACGGG